UACACUUGAGACGAAAAAACCCGGAGGAGCCCCGUUGACUUUUCCCCGCUACAUUUCCACCAAACGCUCUAGAAAAAAGAGAAAGAAAAGAAAAAGGAAAAAUCCAACCACGACCUGGUGCCCAAGACCGCGUGUGUGAAGCCGCGAGAAAAGCGGAGAGAGAGAGAGGGAGAGCGCGCGAGCGAGGGGCUGGGGGAGAACACCCGACGGGCGGAGACGAGGCGGACCACACAACGCAGGAGGCCCCGGGAAAUCAUUAACAGCUCACAAACACGUCCAGCAUGACGGACUGGAUCCCUCCGCAUCCCUGAGACCCCCCCCCCCCCCCUUCCC